AUUGAACGCUGGCGGCAGGCCUAACACAUGCAAGUCGAGCGAGCGGCGGACGGGUGAGUAAUGUAUGGGGACUGCCCGAUAGAGGGGGAUAACUACUGGAAAAGGUAGCUAAUACCGAAUGCUAUAGGAUAACCCAUAUGGGAUUAGCGAGGAGGUGGGGUAAUGGCUCACCUCUGCGACGAUCCAUAGCUGGUCUGAGAGGAUGAUCAGCCACACUGGGACUGAGACACGGCCCAGACUCCUACGGAGGCAGCAGUGGGGAAUAUUGCACAAUGGGCGCAAGCCUGAUGCAGCCAUGCCGCGUGUAUGAUGAAGGCCUUAGGGUUGUAAAGUACUUUCAGCGGGGAGGCGUUACCCGCAGAAGAAGCACCGGCUAACUCCGGGCCAGCAGCCGCGGUAAUUC
rnacentral:rRNA from 1 species